GUGUUGGCAGACAAAACGAUUCUUUCGACGACUCCCGCUGAGGACUGUAUAUUAAAGGCUUUAUUAAAGCUUAACGUUAAAGGCUUUGAGGGAAGAGUAUUUAUAUUUAUUCUUACUCUUUUUCUUUGCGCGUAAAGUACCGAUGUCUUUUCGACUAAAGUCUUAAUAGAUGCCCCCUCUGAAUAGAUGACCCAGUGCACAAUCGGGUCGUGUUUUGGUCAAAAUCGGGUCGAAACGACCUGUCACCUUGUAUGAAACACCCGAUCUUGUCCCAGCCGGUAAAUUGAGUUUUCCGAAUCCGAGAUAAACGACGCGCUUUUUUUGACCAACAAUGGCGAGAAGAGAGUGAAAAAACUGGUGUUGAACAUGCUUCCACAUUUGUUAAUGAAGGUGAAACAAAUAUCCUUUCCGACAAUGUUCAGUCUCACUCUACAUCUGCUCGUGAUAGUGACUGUGAGAUUAGUUUUACCGACGAUUAUGCAGAAGAAAUCCUCCAUUCAGAUGAUUCGUUUGAGUCAUGUGAAGAUACCUCCAGUCAUGAAGAAAUUAGUAUAGAAGGAAAAACUAUCGAGGAAAAGCUACGUAUUUGGGCGCGUACUUCGUGACGAUAUUUCCUUCCCAAUACCGAAAGAGGCGCGGACACUGCUAAAAACUCCACUCUCAAAUGAGAGUAAUACGAUAACCACCAUUGCUGGUGGUCAACUAUGGUACCAUGGCAUCGCUUUUAGUUUGCAACAUCAGUACAAGUAAGACGAAGUUCAUUUAAAUGAUGCUAUUUAUUUUACAAACACUACUUGCACUUUCUUUUACAGUAAAACAACACCAAACGUUCAAACACUAUGGCUGGAUUUUUUCGUCGAUGGAAUUCCAUUGCAUAGAAGUGGAGCGAAUCAGUUUUGGCUAAUAUUGGUGGAAGUGUUUGGCCUAGCUGUGGAACAGUUACUUGUUGUCGCAGUUUAUUGUGGUGAGUCGAAACCAAAUUCGGUCGAGGAAUUCGGUCGACCCAUGGUGACAGAGCUAAGCUAUUUGCAGCAAAACGGCAUUGAAAUUAACGGUCGUAAAUUUCAAGUGUCUUAACGGGUUUUUAUUGUCGAUACUCCAGCUCGUUGCUUCACCAAAUGUAUGGAACAAUAACAUUACAACUAGUGUUGGGUAAAGUGCUUGUGUGCGCACAUUGCAAACAACACACCUUACUGUCCGCACAGUAAAGCACUGCGCUCGAAGUGUGCGUACUGUGCUCGCCUAAAGCACUGUGCGCACAAUGCUCACCUCAAGCACUGUGCGCACUGUGCUCGCCUCAAGCGCUGCUCCGCACUUUGACUAUCAGGCCACUAGUUUUUUGAGAAUAACUCAAAAAGUUGAAGAGAUAGACGAACACGAUGUUCUACAAAGUUGUUUGGAAUAAAAAAAAACGCAUCCUUUCGUACAUUAUUUGCAUAAUUGUAUGCAGGCUUCAUUCCGUACCAUCACAAUUAGGCCAUCUGCUCACUUCAAGCACUGUGCGCACAGUGCUCAACUC